AGGCAUCUGACUACCGGGAACCUCAGCCAGAGUCCGGGAGCCCCCCCGUCCAGGAGCCAACAGAGCCCCCGUCGUGCUGGCGUGAGAACACAUUGCUCUCCUUUGGUUGGAUCCAGUGCCCCUCUUCAUGGGAAAAUGAACCAGAAGACCAUCCUGGUGUUCCUCAUUCUGGCUGUCAUCACCAUCUUUGCCUUGGUUUGUGUCCUGCUGGUGGGCAGGGGUGGAGAUGGGGGUGAACCCAGCCAACUUCCCCAUUGCGCCUCCAUAUCUCCCAGUGCCCAGCCUUGGACACACCCUGGCCAGAGCCAACUGUUUGCAGACCUGAGCCGAGAGGAGCUGACAGCUGUGAUGCACUUUCUGACCCAGCGACUGGGGCCAGGGCUGGUGGAUGCGGCCCAGGCCCGGCCCUCGGACAACUGUGUCUUCUCAGUGGAGCUACAGUUGCCUCCCAAGGCUGCAGCCCUGGCUCACCUGGACAGGGGGAGCCCCCCACCUGCCCGGGAGGCACUGGCCAUUGUCUUCUUUGGCAGGCAACCCCAGCCCAACGUGAGUGAGCUGGUGGUGGGGCCACUGCCUCACCCUUCCUACAUGCGGGACGUGACCGUGGAGCGUCAUGGAGGCCCCCUGCCCUAUCACCGACGCCCCGUGCUGUUCCGAGAGUACCUGGACAUAGACCAGAUGAUCUUCGACAGAGAGCUGCCCCAGGCUUCUGGGCUUCUCCACCACUGUUGCUUCUAUAAGCGCCGGGGACGGAACCUGGUGACAAUGACCACGGGUCCCCGUGGUCUGCAAUCAGGGGACCGGGCCACCUGGUUUGGCCUCUACUACAACAUCUCAGGGGCUGGGUUCUUCCUGCACCCCGUGGGCUUGGAGCUGCUAGUGAACCACAAGGCCCUGGACCCUGCCCGCUGGACCAUCCAGAAGGUGUUCUAUCAAGGCCGCUACUACGACAGCUUGGCCCAGCUGGAGGCCCAGUUUGAGGCCGGCCUUGUGAACGUGGUGCUGAUCCCAGACAAUGGCACAGGUGGGUCCUGGUCCCUGAAGUCCCCUGUGCCCCCGGGUCCAGCUCCCCCUCUGCAGUUCCAUCCCCAAGGCCCCCGCUUCAGUGUCCAGGGAAGUCGAGUGGCCUCCUCACUGUGGACUUUCUCCUUUGGCCUCGGAGCAUUCAGUGGCCCAAGGAUCUUUGACGUUCGCUUCCAGGGAGAAAGACUAGUUUAUGAGAUCAGCCUCCAAGAAGCCUUGGCCGUUUAUGGUGGAAAUUCCCCAGCAGCAAUGAUGACCCGCUAUGUGGAUGGAGGCUUUGGCAUGGGCAAGUACACCACGCCCCUGACCCGUGGGGUGGACUGCCCCUACCUGGCCACCUACGUGGACUGGCACUUCAUUUUGGAGUCCCAGGCCCCCAAGACAGUACGUGAUGCCUUUUGUGUAUUUGAACACAACCAGGGCCUCCCCCUGCGGCGGCACCACUCAGAUCUCUACUCCCACUACUUUGGGGGCCUUGCAGAAACAGUGCUGGUCGUCAGAUCUGUGUCCACCUUGCUCAACUAUGACUAUGUGUGGGAUAUGGUCUUCCACCCCAGUGGGGCCAUAGAAACCCGAUUCUAUGCCACGGGCUACAUCAGCUCAGCAUUCCUCUUUGGUGCUACCGGGAAGUACGGGAACCAAGUUGCAGAGCACACCCUGGGCACGGUCCAUACCCACAGCGCCCACUUCAAGGUGGAUCUGGAUGUAGGAGGACUGGAGAACUGGGUCUGGGCCGAGGAUAUGGUCUUUGUCCCCAUGGCUGUGCCCUGGAGCCCUGAGCACCAGCUGCAGAGGCUGCAGGUGACCCGGAAGCUGCUGGAGACAGAGGAGCAGGCUGCCUUCCUCGUGGGAGGUGCCACCCCUCGCUACGUGUACCUGGCCAGCAACCACAGCAACAAGUGGGGCCACCUGCGGGGCUACCGCAUCCAGGUGCUCAGCUUUGCUGGAGAGCCGCUGCCCCAAAACAGCUCCAUGGCGAGAGGCUUCAGCUGGGAGAGGCAGCAGGAUGGGGUCAAUGGCCAUGGAGGCCUGACCAGUGCCUCCCUAGGUACCAGCUGGCUGUGACCCAGCGGAAGGAGGAGGAGCCCAGUAGCAGCAGCGUUUUCAAUCAGAAUGACCCUUGGGCCCCCACUGUGGAUUUCAGUGAUUUCAUCAACAACGAGACCAUUGCUGGAAAGGACUUGGUGGCCUGGGUGACAGCUGGUUUUCUGCACAUCCCACAUGCAGAGGACAUUCCUAACACGGUGACUGUGGGGAACGGCGUGGGCUUCUUCCUCCGACCCUACAACUUCUUUGACGAAGACCCCUCCUUCUACUCUGCCGACUCCAUCCACUUCCGAGGGGACCAGGAUGCUGGGGCCUGUGAGGUCAACCCCCUAGCUUGCCUGCCCCAGGCUGCUGCCUGUGCCCCUGACCUCCCUGCCUUCUCCCACGGGGGCUUCUCUCACAACUAGGCAGUCCCUGGGAUGGGGCAUGUGGCCAAGGGCUCCAGGGCCAGGGUGUGAGGGACAGGGAGCAGCUGGGCACUGGGCCGGCAGCCUGGUCCCCUCUUCCCUGCGCCAGGACCCUCUUUCUUCCACUGCCCUCCCUCACAUCCCCUCUAUGCCAGGAGCCUCCUGACCCUGUGAUGCCUGACACAGGGGACACUCAGCUUUGUUGAUGCCAGCUGUGCUGAGUUCCCAUCCAUUGAGGCCAGGGCAUGGCCCAGCCUGGAACCAUGGCCGAGGGCUUCCCUAGACGGCUCCCUUUUUUGCUCUCUGGCUUUCCCAAAUCUUUUCAGGCCAUCUCUAAGGACUCUAAAAGGGGGUUAUUCCCUGGAGACCUCAGGGUGGGGUUGCCAGUCCUGCAAGUCCAUAGCUGAGCUGGAAAGGACGCUUCUGCUCACAUUCCCUCUCAUCCAGGUCUCUUCCUUCUUGUCUUCCUUCCUCUCGCCUACUUCCUCCUCGUCCUGUUCCUGCCUUCUCUCCUGCAAUUUCUCCCGAAUCCUGAGGGGAUAUCCCUGUGCCCCAGCCCCUGGUGCUCCCCCAGCCCGCAGUUCUCAAUCAACUUCAGUCUCCUCUCCAGCCCUGUGGAAGUCUCAAAGAUGCAAUGGGACCCCUAAUUGGAGGCCAAUCCCUGUGUGUCGUUCCCUUGCGUCUGUUGCUUAUUGGGAGUAGGAGUUGCUCCUACCCCUGUCCUGGGGCUGGGUGUGUUUCAGGACAGCUGCCUCUGUGCAUUUGUGUCUGCCUGCCUCAUGCUCUCUAGAGGAUGAUGGUCAUCGUGACAGCAGCAGCUCAAGUUAGCAUUUCAAGCGGUUUUGUGGGUGCGGUGAUAAUGAAGAAUGGGUAUAUUGUACCAGGGCUCUAUAUUCUGCAACAACCUGCUUGGGAGGCUGGAGUGGAAACCAAGGGUGGGCAUCAAAGAUGAGGAGCCAAAACCCCUAGAACUCCGGCCACCCAGCCAGGAGGGGCUGUCCAAUCACAUUCAGGCUUGCAAAUGAGCUGGGCCCUGGGUGAGGUGGGGGUCUGGCCUAAGGGGGAGGGGCCUGGUGUGGGUGGGGCAAGGCCUGGCCUGGUCCAGGCUUGGGCUCCGUACCCGUCACUGCUGUCCCUCCUGAGGUCUGGAUUGGGGAUGAGGACAAAGAAAUAGCAAGAGAUGAGAAACAACAGAAACUUUUUUCCCUAAAGGAUUGGUUAAAUCAGUUCUGAUACAGCCUUACAAUACAAUAGUAUGCAGCUGAAAAAUAAUUGUAUGUCUUUAUAUACUAAUAUGUAAUAAUCUUCAAGUGAAAAAGGCAAGCCACAGAAAUGUGUAUAGUGCACUUCCCAUUUGUGUUUCAGAAAGGAGGAGAAUAUAAAUACAUAUUUGCUUAUGUAUACCUAUUCAGAAUAAAUGGAUAACGCUGAUUACUUUUGGGAGGGGAACCAGGAGGUUGAGGACAGGGGAGGGAAGGGUCUUAACACUUACACCCUUUUGUACGUUUUGAAUUUUGAACCAUGUGACUGUAUUACCUAUUCAAAAUAAACAAUAAAUGGGCCCAAACAGGAA